rnacentral:rRNA from 1 species
CGGGUCGUAAAGCUCUGUGGGGAGGGACGAAACCGCCAGCUGCUAAUACCAGCGGGCCUUGACGGUACCUCCUUAGCAAGCACCGGCUAACUCCGUGC